AUUGAACGCUGGCGGCAGGCCUAACACAUGCAAGUCGAGCGGAGCGGCGGACGGGUGAGUAAUGCCUAGGAAUCUGCCUGGUAGUGGGGGAUAAGGUCAGGAAACGGGCGCUAAUACCGCAUACUAUCAGAUGAGCCUGGGUCGGAUUAGCUCUAUGGUGGGGUAAGGGCCUACCAAGGCGACGAUCCGUAACUGGUUUGAGAGGAUGAUCAGUCACACUGGAACUGAGACACGGUCCAGACUCCCAGGUGAGGCAGCAGUGGGGAAUAUUGGACAAUGGGCGAAAGCCUGAACCAGCCAUGCCGCGUGUGUGAAGAAGGUCUUCGGAUUGUAAAGUUCUUUAAGUUGUGAGGCGUUACCAACAGAAUAAGCACCGGCUAACUUCGUGCCAGCAGCCGCGGUAAUAC
rnacentral:rRNA from 1 species